AUUUGAAGGGGCGUAAUUUUCAUUGAAAUUGAAAAGAUUUAAGUUUAUGGAAAUGCUUAGCACUUACAUUUUCCAAAUUGAGCUAGUCAUGGCAAGCAGAAUACGAUCUCUUGAUGGCAACAUUGUAUCCUCUCUAAAUUGGGAAGUGCAAGGACAAAUUUUUCAACUGUUGACUUGACUUUUGAUGAAAUAAAAAACGACCAAUAUUCCUCGUGUUCUGGGAAACACAGGAAUAUACAAGAUGCUGAUGCUACACAGAAAAAAUAGGAAGAGGAUUUCAUCGUCUUAAUGGGCCUGAUAUGAAUUUGCAUCUACUAAGAGGAAUUUCGGAUCAAUAGACAAUUUAAGAUGUCGAUUAUUGGCUGAUUUAAGAUGAAGACAGCAAAAGAAAUGUAAACUAUGAUGAUGCUGAGGCACUUGGAUAUGACAUUGAUGCAUCUAACGUCUUGAAGCUGUUCGGAACGAAAUGGAAAGAAAAAUAUUUUGAGAUGGUGAUUAUUAAUCUAAAUUCCGAAGAAACUCGGAAAUUUUCAAUAAAACAUCUAAAUUUUUUUGGGGCAUGGAUCAAACGAUAUUUGUCGAAGAAUCCCUAAGGAAUCGCUAUGAAGAAUGCAUGGACUGCAAAAUAGGACCACUUAUUUUGAAAAUUCAUUGAGGACAAAAGAGACCUCUUAAAACCUAUCUUCUUGCUCUGAACCAUGGAACUCGGCUUGUGACGUCUCUAUAUGAGGUACUAGACAGAAUGAAUGCGGAAAUUCAGCAUUUGAAACAGCGAACCUUGUUUUCAUUUCCAAUCAAGAGGACUUGGUAAAAAUACAAUGAAUUGAUGAUUGUCUGCUUUAAUGAUAUUUAUUAAAUUUUUUAGCUUAAGUAUUUUGUGCAUUCCUGGAGUAGUUCACUAUUCCCUAGAUCAAAUCAUACAAAAUAGAUAUUAAUUUGAACAUCCUCGGUACAUAAAACUGUUAUUCUUCGAGACAUCAAAAGUUGUGGAUAAUUCGAAAAUUGUAUCAAUAUAGAUCUAAACAGAUAUAUCGAUUUAAAUCAUUCUCUUUGUAAGCUUCCAAUAAAUCCCUACCUUGAUAACGCCAAAAACGUGCUGCUUCAAUUAUGCUUUGCUAAUUUGCAAGUUCAGAAUAUUGUUUAUCUUCAUUCGCUUGUUGAAUGUGCCGCCGCUUAGCCAAAGAUUUUUGUUAUUUUAAUGCAGACUCGAUUCAUCUGCUUGUCUCGUAUCCCAAUCCAUUUGCUAAAUUUAAACGGAUACAUGCACAAAACUACGCUUGAAACAAAUCAUUUUUUACCACACCUAUCGGCAUUCUGACUACAGAAUAGUAUUUACAGAUGAUGUAGACACGUUGUUUCUGUUGUCAUUACUAACGAUUGAAUUUGAAUCCAGAUUUUGCUCAUUGC